UACGUAGGGUGCAAGCGUUGUCCGGAAUUAUUGGGCGUAAAGAGCUCGUAGGCGGUUUGUUGCGUCGGCUGUGAAAUCCCGAGGCUCAACCUCGGGUCUGCAGUCGAUACGAGCAAACUAGAGUGUUGCAGGGGAGACUGGAAUUCCUGGUGUAGCGGUGAAAUGCGCGGAUAUCAGGAGGAACACCGGUGGCGAAGGCGGGUCUCUGGGCAACAACUGACGCCGAGGAGCGAAAGCGUGGGGAGCGAACAGG
rnacentral:rRNA from 1 species